AUUGAACGCUGGCGGCAUGCCUUACACAUGCAAGUCGAACGGCAGCGCGGGGCAACCUGGCGGCGAGUGGCGAACGGGUGAGUAAUAUAUCGGAACAUACCCUAGAGUGGGGGAUAACGUAGCGAAAGUUACGCUAAUACCGCAUACGCACUAAGGUGGAAAGUGGGGGAUUCGCAAGAACCUCAUGCUCAUGGAGUGGCCGAUAUCUGAUUAGCUAGUUGGUGAGGUAAAGGCUCACCAAGGCGACGAUCAGUAGCUGGUUUGAGAGAACGACCAGCCACACUGGAACUGAGACACGGUCCAGACUCCUACGGAGGCAGCAGUGGGGAAUUUUGGGACAAUGGGGGCAACCCUGAUCCAGCAAUGCCGCGUGAGUGAAGAAGGCC
rnacentral:rRNA from 1 species